GAUGAACGCUAGCUACAGGCUUAACACAUGCAAGUCGAGGGGAAACGACAUCGAAAGCUUGCUUUUGAUGGGCGUCGACCGGCGCACGGGUGAGUAACGCGUAUCCAACCUGCCCAUCACUUGGGAAUAACCUUGCGAAAGUAAGACUAAUACCCAAUGAUAUCCCACGAAGGCAUCGGAAUGGGAUUAAAGAUUUAUCGGUGAUGGAUGGGGAUGCGUCUGAUUAGCUUGUUGGCGGGGUAACGGCCCACCAAGGCAACGAUCAGUAGGGGUUCUGAGAGGAAGGUCCCCCACAUUGGAACUGAGACACGGUCCAAACUCCUACGGGAGGCAGCAGUGAGGAAUAGUGGUCAAUGGGCGAGAGCCUGAACCAGCCAAGUAGCGUGCAGGAAGACGGCCCUAUGGGUUGUAAACUGCUUUUAUAAGGGAAUAAAGUGGGUCACGUGUGACUUUUUGCAGGUACCUUAUGAAUAAGGACCGGCUAAUUCCGUG
rnacentral:rRNA from 1 species